rnacentral:rRNA from 1 species
GGGUCUACCCAUUGGUCAGGCUUAAUUGUCUGCACUGGUGAGAUGGAUCCCUACCUUCUGGAGAACCAUCAUGUUAUUAAUUUAGCGUGGUGGGAAACCAGGACCUUUACCUUGAAAAAAUUAGAGUGUUCAAAGCAGGCUUACGUCUGAAUACAUUAGCAUGGAAUAAUAGAAUAGGACGGUGGUCCUGUUUUGUUGGUUUCUGAAUCACCGUA